rnacentral:rRNA from 1 species
CCUACGGGAGGCAGCAGUGGGGAAUCUUGCGCAAUGGGCGAAAGCCUGACGCAGCGACGCCGCGUGGGGGAUGAAGCAUCUCGGUGUGUAAACCCCUUUCGACUGGGACGAAUGCCUCGCAAGAGGAGUGACGGUACCACGUAGAAAAGCCCCGGCUAACUACGUGCCAGCAGCCGCGGUAAU